rnacentral:rRNA from 1 species
UACGGAGGGUGCAAACGUUGCUCGGAAUCACUGGGCGUAAAGCGCACGUAGGCGGCCUUGUAAGUUGGGUGUGAAAGCCCUGGGCUCAACCCAGGAAGUGCAUCCAAAACUGCAGGGCUUGAGUACCGGAGGGGUUCAGAGAAUUCCUGGUGUAGAGGUGAAAUUCGUAGAUAUCAGGAGGAAUACCAGUGGCGAAGGCGCUGAACUGGACGGUAACUGACGCUGAGGUGCGAAAGCGUGGGUAGCAAACAGG